ACUGAACGCUGGCGGCGUGCCUAACACAUGCAAGUCGAGCGGUAACAGGUGUAGCAAUACAUGCUGACGAGCGGCGAACGGGUGAGUAAUGCUUCGGAAUCUACCUUAUGGUGGGGAAUAACUAGCCGAAAGGUUAGCUAAUACCGCAUACGUCCUACGGGAGAAAGCAGGGGAUCGCAAGACCUUGCGCCAAAAGAUGAGCCGAAGUCGGAUUAGCUAGUUGGUAGGGUAACGGCCUACCAAGGCGACGAUCCGUAGCUGGUCUGAGAGGACGACCAGCCACACUGGGACUGAGACACGGCCCAGACUCCUACGGGAGUCAGCAGUGGGGAAUAUUGGACAAUGGGGGAAACCCUGAUCCGGCGACGCCGCGUGUGUGAAGAAGGCCUGCGGGUUGUAAAGCACUUUUAGUGGGGAUGAAAUGUGCAGGGUUAAUACCUCUGCAUUUUGACCUAACCCACAGAAAAAGCACCGGCUAACUCUGUGCCAGCAGCCGCAGUAA
rnacentral:rRNA from 1 species